AUUGAACGCUGGCGGCAUGCUUUACACAUGCAAGUCGAACGGUAACAGGGAGCUUGCUCCGCUGACGAGUGGCGAACGGGUGAGUAAUGCGUCGGAACGUGCCGAGUAGUGGGGGAUAACGCAUCGAAAGGUGUGCUAGUACCGCAUACGUACUGAGGUAGAAAGUGGGGGACCUUCGGGCCUCACGCUAUUCGAGCGGCCGACGUCUGAUUAGCUAGUUGGUGAGGUAAAGGCUCACCAAGGCGACGAUCAGUAGCGGGUCUGAGAGGAUGAUCCGCCACACUGGGACUGAGACACGGCCCAGACUCCUACGGGAGGCAGCAGUGGGGAAUUUUGGACAAUGGGCGCAAGCCUGAUCCAGCCAUGCCGCGUGUCUGAAGAAGGCCUUCGGGUUGUAAAGGACUUUUGUCCGGGAGCAAAUGCUGGUGGCUAACAUCCACCGGAGCUGAGAGUACCGGAAGAAUAAGCACCGGCUAACUACGUGCCAGCCGCCGCAGUAAAAC
rnacentral:rRNA from 1 species